rnacentral:misc_RNA from 1 species
AACGGCAAGAAGAAAAUGAAGGCAGGCCUGUUCAGGCAAGCCAGCUGUCACCUGGGGAUGUAAUCUUUGGAAUCAAUCGGCGACCGUCUUUUACCGAAGGAGGUUCUGUGGAGAUUCCUGAGUUUCUCAGGAAGAAAGGUCGCUCUCGCUAUCCAAGAGCUUAAAUUAUAUUUCCACAGUUUGUCCUAUCCUGUACAUAUCUCUUUUUCUGGGAAUUCCAUUCUAUGGAAUCUAUAAUACAUCUUUGUAGGUAAUAGUUCCAGACAGCACCCCCCUUGAGGUUUCUAGCUUUGAGAUAUUAAGAAUGUAUGCUGGUUAGAAUGUAGUAUUCCUAAAAAGUUGUAGAU